AUACGUAGGGGGCGAGCGUUGUCCGGAAUGAUUGGGCGUAAAGGGCGCGUAGGCGGCCCGGUAAGUCUGGAGUGAAAGUCCUGCUUUUAAGGUGGGAAUUGCUUUGGAUACUGUCGGGCUUGAGUGCAGGAGAGGUAAGUGGAAUUCCCAGUGUAGCGGUGAAAUGCGUAGAGAUUGGGAGGAACACCAGUGGCGAAGGCGACUUACUGGACUGUAACUGACGCUGAGGCGCGAAAGUGUGGGGAGCAAACAGGAUUAGAUACCCUGGUAGUCCACACUGUAAACGAUGAAUGCUAGGUGUAGGGGGUAUCGACCCCCUCUGUGCCGCAGUAAACACAAUAAGCAUUCCGCCUGGGGAGUACGGCCGCAAGGUUGAAACUCAAAUGAAUGGACGGGG
rnacentral:rRNA from 1 species